CCCGCGAUUACGCAACGAUGAGAACGCAGCUCUAGGCCGGUCUGGAAAGGCAGCACAGUUGGGCCCAAGUGGCCCAACUCCCUGGAGGAGAGGACGGGCUCUGAAGACUCUUCCGGCUGCCCCUGAAACCCUGAAACCGCUUAGUUGUUUUUCUGGUUGACUAGCUGCUGCACGCAACUGUCAGCUGCUUGUGAACUGUGUGACGCCAGUUCGCGCUCCUGUUUGUUUUCUAAAAGGUGAGCCUAAUGACAAAGUCAACAAUUGUUCAGAAGACCUGCAUUCACCAGAAAGAAUAUUUUUACCAAUAUUCAGAUGAUCACAUUUUAAAAUUCAGCACGGACUGAGUUUUUAUACAUUCUGCACACCCCAAAACAGGGGAAGACCACCACAGCGUGCACAGGAGGAAAAAAGUCAGACUGUGCAAUCAUUAUGCAAUAAUGCAUUAAUAAUAUAUGGUUUAUUGAACCAAAAAAGACUUUGGCCAAACUCCCAGUCAUUUAACCCAUUGAGUGGUUUUAAGUUAUAUAGCCACCGAAGAAGAAAUUACCUGAGGAAGAAUAGAGUAAACCUACCAGGAACCUCCUCAGUUACCUAAAGCAAUGCCUCUAAGAAGCAUGGAGAAGAAGCUCAGUGUGGAAAUGGAGAAAACCAACUUGUUCAUCUAAAGCUGAGUCUCAGGGACUAUUUGGCACAGAGCUAUGAACCUGGGGGACUGGAAAAGUCAGAAACUUAGCAGGAACUGAACUUUGCUGUCUCCCUUGGCUUUGAGUGAGAUCCUGAGGCUGCCAGAAGGGAAAGAAGGACAGGCACCCAUUUGACACCAGGAUAUUGCUAAGAUGCCAGUCUGGGGUUUUCAUCACAGAGAUCCUGAAGUUUCUACACUGUGAAAUCUAUACUCCAAAUUAAACUGCCUUCCAAAGUUCCAGCUCCAGACCAACAGUACCAAGGACAGCUCUCUAUAGUGGGGAAAAUACACUUCUGAAACAGAAAGGCCAAGCAAGGGCUGUAACUCUCAAGGCCCCUCUCAUUAGUGUGACCUCUUCAUCCAAAAAAGGUGACUCUAUAUUUUAUUUCCACAUUGAUUGCCAGAAAGGAUGAU
rnacentral:lncRNA from 1 species